UUCUCAUUGCCUUCGGGAAAGUAAGACCCCUCAGAGAUGAUGAGGUAGAUAGGAUGGAAGUGGAAGUGCCGUGAGGCAUGGAGCGGACCAUUACUAAUCGGUCGAGGACUUAACCAAG
rnacentral:rRNA from 1 species